rnacentral:rRNA from 1 species
AGUCACACCGGAACUGAGACACGGUCCGCCCUCCUACGGGAGGCAGCAGUGGGGAAUAUUGGACAAUGGGCGCAAGCCUGAUCCAGCAAUGCCGCGUGUGUGAAGAAGGCCUUCGGGUUGUAAAGCACUUUAAGUUGGGAAGAAAAAACUCGCUCUAACACAGUGAGUCUUGACGGUACCGACAGAAUAAGCACCGGCUAACUCUGUGCCAGCAGCCGCGGUAAUACAGAGGGUGCAAGCGUUAAUCGGAUUUACUGGGCGUAAAGCGUGCGUAGGCGGUUUGUUAAGUCGGUUGUGAAAGCCCUGGGCUCAACCUGGGAAUUGCAGUCGAUACUGGCAGGCUAGAGAACGGUAGAGGGAGGCGGAACUCCAGGUGUAGCGGUGAAAUGCGUAGAUAUCUGGAAGAACACCGAUGGCGAAGGCAACCUCCUGGGCCUGUUCUGACGCUGAGGCACGAAAGCGUGGGUAGCAAACAGGAUUAGAUACCCUGGUAGUCCACGCCGUAAACGAUGAGAACUUGACGUCGGGUUGCUUAGCAAUUCGGUGUCGCAGCUAACGCGAUAAGUUCUCCGCCUGGGGAGUACGGCCGCAAGGUUGAAACUCAAAGGAAUUGACGGGGGCCCGCACAAGCGGUGGAGUAUGUGGUUUAAUUCGAUGCAACGCCAAGAACCUUACCUGGUCUUGACAUGUCGAG